UUUUCUGUGUCUCUCCGCCCUCCGUUUGCUCGCCUUGCCUCUUGGCAGCGGUGCCAAAGUGGGCAGGCUCACGGAGGCAAACACAGCACAGGCCAGAGCAGAGGGCGAUCCAAAAGGCUGGCGAGUUGAUAAUGUGGAUGUUUGGAAGUGUCCGUUGUUAUUUUGACUUCUUUUUUCCAUGUGGCGUUCCGAGCUCAUCCGUUCGUUGCACACAAUGUGCACAAUGUUUCGGAUUUGUGUUUGUAAGGCUAUAACGAGAGAGCACACGUAAAAUGCAUGAACAGACGCACUCGCGCCAAGAGGAGGGGAUUGUGGGAAAAAAAAAAAAAAAGGGGUGUCGCUCUGAGAGGGUGUGCUCUACUCUCUUUUUCCUUCUUCCCGCCAUCACGGGCCUUCUUCUCUUCCAGUCCUCGGGCCCAAGUCGCCGCUCAGAUACAGGAUGCAGGAGCGUGACCUUGACGUCGGCACCAUAACGAGGCAACACGAAUGCUGCCCUUGGGCCUGAGGAGACAGCUUGAUCAGCCGCACAUCCUCGCCCCCAAAUCCUGUCCAAUCACAGCACGUGGAACGUAGCGACUCGUGUAACAUAUACUGCGGUGUAUUAUGUUACCUGACAUGUGAAUAUGUGUUAAAACCGGGCUUUGUCAGGGUGAGGUAGUAGGUUGUAUAGUUUGGUGGGUGGGUCUGCACCCAGCUCAGGUGAUAACUAUACAGUCUAUUGCCUUCCUUGAGAAGCCCAUAAACAACUAAGUGUAUGUAAUUGUUUGUAUAAGUCACGUAACGAGAUAUUUAUGUUGAUAAAUGUGAAUAAAGUCAUACUUUACAAGUGGGUGGACUUCUUGUUGUAAUGUGGGUCCAUACGUCCAAUGGUCAGUCUUUUGCGCCCUCC